UGGGGAAUAUUGGACAAUGGACGAAAGUCUGAUCCAGCGAUGCCGCGUGAGUGAAGAAGGUCUUCGGAUUGUAAAGCUCUUUUAUCAGGGAAGAAAAGUCUGUGUUAAUAGCACAAGACGCUGACGGUACCUGAAGAAUAAGGAUCGGCUAACUACGUG
rnacentral:rRNA from 1 species